rnacentral:rRNA from 1 species
CCUACGGGCGGCAGCAGUGGGGAAUAUUGCGCAAUGGGGGAAACCCUGACGCAGCAACGCCGCGUGGGCGACGAAGGUCUUCGGAUUGUAAAGCCCUGUCUUCUGGGACGAUAAUGACGGUACCAGAGGAGGAAGCCACGGCUAACUACGUGCCAGCAGCCGCGGUAAUACGUAGGUGGCAAGCGUUGUCCGGAAUUACUGGGCGUAAAGGGUGCGUAGGCGGAUAUUUAAGUGGGAUGUGAAAUACCUGAGCUCAACUCGGGUGCUGCAUUCCAAACUGGAUAUCUAGAGUGCAGGAGAGGAGAAUGGAAUUCCUAGUGUAGCGGUGAAAUGCGUAGAGAUUAGGAAGAACACCAGUGGCGAAGGCGAUUCUCUGGACUGUAACUGACGCUGAGGCACGAAAGCGUGGGUAGCAAACAGGAUUAGAUACCCUUGUAGUC